rfam:Gossypium raimondii Chr02_contig_638, whole genome shotgun sequence.
AAUCCUUGGUGUGGGCAUUUUUGAAUAAACAUUUUGAACCAUUUCUAUGCCUCAUAUACACUUUAUCCUUCCAUCUAUCUAAAAACAACAAUCUCUCUUCUUAGUUG